rnacentral:rRNA from 1 species
ACACGUAGGGGCCUGACGUUGUUCGGAAUCAUUGGGCGUAAAGGGCGCGCAGGCGGCCGUCCAAGUCCGGUGUUAAAUGUUCGGGCUCAACCCGAUCAUGCGCUGGAAACUGGGCGGCUGGAGUCCCGGAGGGGAUGCCGGAAUUCCAGGUGUAGGGGUGAAAUCUGUAGAUAUCUGGAAGAACACCGAUGGCGAAGGCAGGCAUCUGGCCGGAGACUGACGCUGAGGCGCGAAGGCGCGGGGAGCGAACAGGUUUAGAUACCCUGGUAGUCCGCGCAGUAAACGAUGCGCACCAGGUGUCGGGCGGCAGCGCCCGGUACCGGAGCAAACGCGAUGAGUGCGCCGCCUGGGGAGUAUGCCCGCAAGGGUGAAACUCAAAGGAAUUGGCGGGG